rnacentral:rRNA from 1 species
CGACCGGCGCACGGGUGAGUAACACGUAUCCAACCUGCCGAUAACUCGGGGAUAGCCUUUCGAAAAGAAAGAUUAAUAUCCGAUAGCAUAUCAANAUCGCAUGAUCUUGAUAUUAAAGAAUUUUCGGUUAUCGAUGGGGAUGCGUUCCAUUAGUUAGUUGGCGGGGUAACGGCCCACCAAGACGACGAUGGAUAGGGGUUCUGAGAGGAAGGUCCCCCACAUUGGAACUGAGACACGGUCCAAACUCCUACGGAAGGCAGCAG